GUGCGGGCUUCCUAGGACCUGAUCCUGGGCAGUUGAGGAUUACGUCCCCGAGGUAGGGCCCAUAACGGGUCCGGAGGCGUGCUUGGGGACCUCCGGGCCUCCCCGGUUCCCACUCCUGCGUCCCCGCCCGUGCGGCAUCCCCCUCCCCGGCGCUGCGGCUGGCGCGCGCCCCGCCUGACGCUGCAGCUGGGCCAGCGACUCGCCAUUGGAUUAAAAAUAGCAGCUCCCGCCCGCUGGCCGGCCGGGGCAGGGGCCGAGCCUUCCCAGCCUGAGCUGAUCCUCAGCCCGCGCGGCCGCUGCGUCCAGGUCCUGCUCUCCCGCUGCGCCGCGUUCCUCCCCAGGCCCGCUGCGCUCAGCGGCCAUGCAGCGCCGGGGCGCCCUGUUCAGCGUGCCGGGUGGCGGCGGGAAGAUGGCUGCAGGGGACCUGGGUGAGCUGCUGGUGCCUCACAUGCCCACGAUCCGCGUGCCUAGGUCAGGGGACCGCGUCUACAAAAACGAGUGCGCCUUCUCCUACGACUCUCCGAACUCUGAAGGAGGACUCUAUGUAUGCAUGAAUACAUUUUUGGCUUUUGGAAGGGAACACGUUGAAAGACAUUUUCGGAAAACUGGACAGAGCGUGUACAUGCACCUGAAGAGGCACAUGCGAGAGGUAAGAGGAGCUUCUGGUGGAGCUUUACCCAAAAGGAGGAAUUCUAAACUAUUUUUAGAUCUAGAUAUGGAUGACGAUUUAAAUAGUGACGAUUACGAAUAUGAAGACGAAGCCAAACUUGUUAUAUUCCCAGACCACUAUGAAAUAGCCCUUCCUAACAUUGAGGAGUUACCAGCCCUGGUAACAAUUGCUUGCGAUGCAGUGCUCAGCUCAAAGUCCCCGUAUAGGAAGCAGGAUCCAGACACGUGGGAAAACGAACUGCCAGUAUCGAAGUACGCCAACAACCUCGUGCAGCUGGACAACGGGGUCAGGAUUCCUCCGAGUGGCUGGAAGUGUGCCCGAUGUGACCUGCGGGAGAACCUCUGGUUGAAUCUGACUGACGGCUCUGUUCUGUGUGGGAAGUGGUUUUUUGACAGCUCAGGGGGCAAUGGCCAUGCACUGGAGCAUUACAGAGACAUGGGCUAUCCUCUGGCCGUGAAGCUGGGCACCAUCACGCCGGAUGGAGCAGAUGUUUAUUCUUUUCAAGAAGAGGGGCCUGUUUCGGAUCCUCAUUUGGCCAAACACUUAGCACACUUUGGGAUUGACAUGCUCCACACACAAGGGACAGAGAAUGGGUUCCGGGACAAUGACAUCAAGCUGAGAGUCAGCGAGUGGGAAGUGAUCCAGGAGUCAGGAACCAAGCUGAAGCCAAUGUACGGCCCAGGGUACACGGGCCUGAAGAACCUGGGCAACAGUUGCUACCUCAGUUCUGUCAUGCAGGCCAUCUUCAGCAUCCCAGAGUUCCAGAGAGCGUAUGUAGGAAACCUCCCAAGGAUAUUUGACUACUCACCAUUAGAUCCAACGCAGGACUUCAACACACAGAUGACUAAGUUGGGACAUGGCCUCCUCUCUGGCCAGUACUCGAAGCCUCCGGUGAAAUCUGAGCUCAUUGAACAGGUCAUGAAGGAGGAGCACAAGCCUCAGCAGAAUGGGAUCUCUCCACGAAUGUUCAAGGCCUUUGUCAGCAAGAGUCACCCAGAAUUUUCCUCCAAUAGACAGCAGGAUGCCCAGGAGUUUUUCUUGCAUUUGGUUAAUCUGGUAGAGAGGAAUCGCAUUGGCUCAGAAAACCCAAGUGAUGUUUUCCGGUUUUUGGUGGAGGAGCGAAUUCAAUGCUGUCAGACCAGAAAGGUCCGCUACACAGAGAGGGUGGACUACCUUAUGCAGUUACCAGUGGCAAUGGAGGCAGCAACCAACAAAGAUGAGCUGAUUGCCUAUGAACUAAUGCGGAGGGAAGCAGAAACCAACAGGAGACCCCUUCCAGAGCUGGUACGAGCCAAGAUCCCAUUCAGUGCCUGCCUUCAGGCCUUUGCUGAACCAGACAAUGUGGAUGAUUUCUGGAGCAGUGCUCUGCAGGCCAAGUCUGCAGGGGUCAAAACAUCUCGCUUUGCCUCAUUCCCUGAAUACUUGGUAGUGCAGAUAAAGAAGUUCACUUUUGGUCUUGACUGGGUUCCCCGAAAAUUUGAUGUUUCUAUUGAUAUGCCAGAUCUACUAGAUAUCAGCCAUCUCAGAGCCAGGGGCUUGCAGCCAGGGGAAGAGGAGCUUCCUGACAUCAGCCCCCCCAUAGUCAUUCCCGAUGACUCAAAAGACCGCUUGAUGAACCAGCUGAUAGACCCCUCAGACAUUGAUGAGUCCUCGGUGAUGCAACUGGCUGAGAUGGGCUUCCCUUUGGAGGCCUGCAGGAAGGCUGUGUACUUCACGGGGAAUACUGGAGCUGAGGUGGCCUUCAACUGGAUUAUCGUGCACAUGGAAGAGCCUGAUUUUGCUGAACCACUGGCCAUACCUGGGUAUGGAGGGGCUGGGGCCUCUGCCUUUGGUGCUACCGGACUGGACAACCAACCUCCUGAGGAAAUCGUAGCUAUUAUCACUGCCAUGGGAUUCCAGCGCAGUCAGGCGAUACAGGCUCUACAAGCAACGGUGAGCACUGGGGACUGUGAAUCUGGGACUACUGACCUUACUGGAGGUGGUUUUCAGUUUGGUUUUUAGCAACAGAGAUCUCCCAAGGCCUUUUGAUCAUUCUACAUCAUCUGCAUCUGACUGUGUCCCAUCACACCUCCUGAAGAUUCAUUUGCACGCAGUAUACCCAAAAUUAAACUGAAUGAACGAGGGACUCAGGUGGUCAACUUAUGUGUAAGGGGAUAUGGAACUGAGCAAGGUGAUCAAGACGUUGAGUGUUCCUUAGUGGGGCUCACAGAUCUGCUUAGAGCAUGACCUUCAGAGCAAAGAGGUGCCAAGGUUCUGGCUUGGGAAGAAAGUUCUUAAGAUGAGAAAUCAUGCUUUUUUGAUAUCAAGACCUUGGACAAAUAGGCCCGAGGUUAUCAAAAUAUGUCUCAGAGUUCUCUACUACUGGUUCCCUCUACAGAGAAGAGGUUCUUUUGGUAGUUGUGAACAUCUCCGUUUAUUUGGAGACAGGGUGUUAUAGGUAUCAGUUUAAUACUUAGGGAAGUACAUUCAAACCUACCCUCCCUUGUCACAUCAGAAUUCAUUCUGAGUAGCAUUCUGCUCCUAGGCCCUUUUGCUUGUGCUGACCAGGUUCCUUUUAGGACUUAUUGCCGAGGUCAUAGUGAGUUUUGGUCAGGUCAGGGGAAUUUUCCCUUUAAAAUUCUCAAACUAUUUCAACCAGAGAUUUUCCCCCUUGGGUGCUCUCUUGAGCCCUACUUGUAUCAUUGAAGUUUCUACAUCCAAACAAAUCCUUUAGCUUGUUAGUGCUGUCACAAACAGGGGAAGGUAGAAAUAACUUCAUGAUGGGUUGGUUUGAACCAUUUGGGAUUCCAUUAAAGCGACCAUUAGCUAAGGCGUCAUCUGUUCUCCAGUUCUUCCAGUACUUAAGACAUGGAGGCACUGACCCAGUGUGCACAUUGGCAUCUUCACCUCACAGAAUCAUCUGCAGAAGAUGCAGUCGGUCAAAAAGAUAGUGCAUAUAAUGACUUUGGCUGCAGAAAGGGCUGCAUGCGAAUGCUGACCUCUUCCCUUUUACACCCUUGUCAUUGGCACCAGCCUGCAGCACUGCUGAGCUAAGACAAGUGGAGACUCCAUAGCUGAUGUGCUGCUCUGAACCACUUCCUGGUGACUGCAGUGGGGUAGGGUAUAGGUGGGAGAGUGGCAGUGUCCAAGCCUCUGACUCAGAAGUAUUUGGCACCAGUUCGCCUAGCUGCUUGACAUCUGGUGCAGAUGUUCGGAACUCGAUGAGGCCCGAAUGUUGAGUGCACUGUGAACUUCCUUUCUUCAGAACCAUAACCUGGAAAGAGCACUGGACUGGAUCUUCAGCCACCCUGAGUUUGAAGAGGACAGUGACUUUGUCAUCGAGAUGGAGAACAAUGCGAAUGCAAACAUCAUGUCUGAGGCCAAGCCAGAGGGGCCCAGAGUCAAGGAUGGGUCUGGAAUGUAUGAGUUGUUUGCGUUCAUCAGUCACAUGGGAACAUCUACAAUGAGUGGCCAUUAUGUUUGCCAUAUCAAGAAGGAGGGACGAUGGGUGAUCUACAAUGACCACAAAGUUUGUGCCUCAGAAAGGCCCCCCAAAGACCUGGGAUAUAUGUACUUUUACCGCAGGAUACCAAGCUAAACCUCACAAGAAUUGGCGAGAAGAAGCCAUACACCUUUAUAAUUUGCCAAAAAGAAAAAAAAAAAAAAAAAAAAAAGGAAAAUAAAGGAAAAAGUUGGGACAGCCGGAUGGAGGACUACAUGGGUAUUUACUGCUCCUUUCAAGAGCGUGGUCACUCGAUGCCUUCUGGAGAAGAACUGGGGAGAAAAUUCUGUUGGCGGUGAUAUUCUGUCCUGGGAGAUUUUGUAACUGUUCAGGGAGAGAGUGGCGGAAGCAAAGGCACUGUCCACCGGCCCCUCAGAGAGGCACUGUCUUCCCCUCUCUUCUACUUGGGGGGGUCACCAGUGAGGGCCCCCCACAGUGAGAAAAAUGCCCACUUUUAAAAUUUUUCCACAUAGGAAAUCAAAACCUGGACUGGCUUUUAUUGGUGGCACUGUGUUUUCAUUUCCCACAGUAAGUUCUGUGCACUAGGACAUCUGCGGUGAGAGCUAUUUUUAAUUUAAAUCACGUCAAACUUUAUAUUACACCGUAUGAGUGUGUGUGUGUGUGUGUGUGUGUGUGUGUGUGUGUGAGAGAGAGAGAGAGAGAGAGAGAGAGAGAGAGAGAGAGAGAGAGAGCUUUGUAGUCUGCUGUACGUCUGAUGGAUUGGUGUUCAAAGGCCAAAUAGCUGCUUUUAGGCAUAUUUGGAAAAGGCAGGCAAACAUCUUUAAAACUUACAACUCAGGAACAAUUGUUAAAAGUGAGUUCCCCACUUGGAUUUUAAAGUACAGAGAGCUGAGCUGUGGCCCCUUAAGUGCUGUCUGGCAUUCAUGUGGGUCUGUGUCGUUUGACCUUGAUGCCAGGUGCCUAAGUCUUGUCACUGUGCUUUGCCAAGGGCAGAUGGGAUCUCUUCCUCAGUAGGGCAUUCCCUCAAAGCUUUGUGUUUUGUUUUAGUUAAAUAACUGGUCUCCCAAGCUCCUGCUUACUCCCUGGGAUCACGUUAGAUGCCUGUGGUUUGUCUGAUAUUUUGGUCUCUGAACUUUCUUGUGUUUUCACAUCUCUGCUUCUCUGGGGCCAGUUUCACCUCUGCCCUCACUGUCUAUCUGCUGUGGCCCAUGGUACAACCUGGGGCGCUUUAAGGAUGCAAGCUGCAGAAACACCUCUGUUGCAGCUGCACAGCCAGGGCCUUCCCUCCGUGUCAUUUUAGGGUCCUAGCUGUGGUCUGAGAUCAGAGCAGAGUUGUGGAUGUGCAGUGGAGAGGAACCAGAGCUCUCCAUAAUUUUCUUACUACUUCUCAUCAAAUUCCAGCCUCUGGAGUCUCUAGUUCAGAUUAUUGAUCAGAUGGGAAAGGAUUUAUUGCUGUCUGCUUGAUGUGUGCUUGUUUGAUUGAUCUUUGCAGAAACUGCAGAAAAAAAAUGAUGAAAUAGAAAUAGAAUGGGCUGAGUAAGCAGAGACAUUGGGUUGGGAUGGGAUGAGUCUGAACAGUCAGAGUUCAAACCCUGAGGCCCUGUCUCAAGGAAGUCCCCGUGUAAGUCCGGGCUGUGGGGCAGGGCCACGGGCCUGGGUGCUUCUGGGUGCUGUCUCAGUUGGCUAUGGGCCAGUCCUUCCAUCUGUGCCUCAUUCUCCUCAUCCGCAUGGUGGUCAGGUGACACCUCCCCUCUUUCUAGCAGGCUUUGAUUAAUUCUGAAGAACCUCUACUGAACAGAAGGUGGAACGUGGUAGGCCCCACUAGAGAGUGCUCCUGUCUUCUUGACUUACCUGUUGUGUUUUCCACUUGGGAAUAAAUGACAUCACGGGAGGGAGCUCAUGAUUCUCUCUGACACUGUCCCACUGAGGUACCUUUGAGGCUUGGCUCAGAGAUCCUAAGUCUCUGUCCUGUGUGUCCCUGACCAGCGCCCCUACCCCGAAGUGGAAAUUCACACACCAAGCAGCCUUACAAAUGUAGUCCCUAUAGGGCCACAUAUGGUAGGAUAAUGACUGGCCUUCAGUGGCUGGUUUGCAGUGUUACAAAGCAAAGGCCUUUCACGUGGGUAGGGGCCUCUCAGGAGGUUUGAAUUCAAAUGUGGUCAGAGAUAGUAUAUAUAUUUUGGACAAAAUAAGAAGUUUUUAUAAAACUUUGCAAGCUCAACAUUGUAAAAUCCACAUUAAAGAUUUUAGGCUAUAAACCGUUUAAUUUUAUUAGGUAGAAGAAGCAAAUUAAUCCUUCUGAUGCCAAGACAUACUUCGAGAAAGUGGAUAAUGACUGCCUCUUCCCUGCCUCACAAACACAAGGGCUAUUCAUGGCAAAGUUUUGUAUAUGUGCUAUUCUUCACUCAGAUCAGGAGCUGGACGCACCGGCGUGGGCAGUGCCUUGCUUUCUCGUUAGAAAUGUGCUUGCAUGUGUCUCCUGGUAUAGGCAAACCAGCCGCUCUAGAGUACCAGUGGGAUAUAUCACUUAUCUUACGUGUGUAAAUGGGAUGCUUGUGGCCACAACUGGAACAACGUGGGCUGUGUCUGCUGACCCACCUGCUAGGAGUCUUUUUGUGUGAGAUGUGGCGUGAUUGUGUGGCUCUCUCUCCAUGUGUAGGCAUCUGUGUGGAGGACAGAGCUUUCUUCCUGUAAAUAUCUUUUGAUAUCCAUUUGUGUAGACUCCCAAUAUGUCUUUGGAAAAUGGAUCUGUUUUGUCAGUUGGUCGAAAUACCCAAAUAACAAGUCAGAAAUCCAGCUUGGUAUAGGUUUUCUUUUUUUUCUGAAUGAGAAGAAUCUGGGAAGAAUCAUAUUUUAAUGACAUUUUAUAUCAAUGUUCCUUCAGUAUUUUGGAAUCGACGAGCUUGUUUUCCCAAGCCUUUAAGAGAAUGUGCCUGCCAUUUCCCCUGCAUCCCUUUGGGCUCCCAUUACCUCAGCUGAAGACUUACAAGUGUGCUUAUGUCCUGACAGCAUCUCUGUGUCACAUGCCUGAGUCUCACUGCUGCUGGGCCCUUGUCUCUGGACCAGGAGGUUAGACCAGAUAAUCUGUGAAGUCUCCUUCUGUCUGGCCACUACAUUUUGUGUUUAUUUUUCUGUGGUUCUGUCCAGAAUCAGACAUGAGCUGUGGUGGUCACUCAGGAGUUUCAGUGUUGGAGUCUGCAGCUAUUCUAGCUUGUAGGUUGCUGACAUCAUUGGUCCACAUCCCAUUUCUCUUCCUGAUCUAUUUUCUUUGGUAAUCUCACUUCCCCCCAACCCUGAACUCAAAACUUUUCAGUCUAUGAGGCCCUUUGCUACUGCCCCCCUCCAAACAAAAGCAGCAAUCCAUGUAUGCCACCCUCUUGGAAAAGUCUCAGAAUGCCUCUCAGCUUGCUCUGACAUGCACAAUAUUUUAAAAUCCUGAUUCCGUUGUUGCUAGUCCCAUCCCCAGAUAUGUGCUGCCGAAGCUGUCUGUCCUAGAAAGGGUGUCUUCAUCGUCAUAGAUGCCAUGGCUUCUGGAUCUCAUCACAGAUCUUCAUAGUCUGUGGGGUUGCCAGGAGACAUGAGCAGAACAGAGGAUGGCAUUAGAUAUAAUGUGCUUCUGCCUGUCAGGGCAGUAUCUCAGGGGACAGAACAAGGUCUGUGCUGUGAAGCUGGUGGGUGCCACCUACUCGAUGCCACCAGGAUUUCCUAAUUUGAUUUUCAUUGGUGUAAUAAAGACGAUGAACAAAAACAAGUUGGGAAGGAAAGGGUUCAUUUGGUCUUAUAAAGUAACACUCCACCAGGAGGGGAAGUCAGGGCAGGAACUGAAGGCAGGAACUGAGGCAGAGGCCGUGGAGGAGUGCUUCUUACUGGCUUGUUCCCCACUGCUCUCUCAGCCUGCUUUCCAGGACCACCCACACUGGGCUGGGCCCUCCCUCACCAAUCAUUAAUCAAGAAAAUGUCCCAUAGGCUUACCCACGAGCUGAUCUUAAAGGAAGCAUUUUCUCAGUUGAGGUUGCCUCUUUCAGAUGAUCUUAGCUUGAGUCAAAUGAACCCGAACAAACACACACAACCUAAUCAGCACAGUCCUCUGUAAUCCAUCACCCUUAUAGUUGGUGGCAGAGUCUGUAGCUCUCUAGCCUGGUGGGACUUGGUCAGUCCAUACUAAGAUUGUUCCAUAUACAUAAAACGCACACUAAUACUUGGAAAGCUUCAACAAGCAGAACGACUGUUGCAAAUGAUGUUGACUGCAUGUGAUGGUAAUUUAAUAUUAAAUUUUCCACUGUCAUUUGUUCUUAGCACAGCUACUGAGCAAUUCAGAAGUGUGCCUAAGGCCCAGCCAUUAUUGUUCUGCACUGAGAGGUCGCCAGUGAAAUCCCAUGAGUGAGACAGGACCCUGCAGAGGCUCUGAAUCAAAACAACACAGAUGAUUUUGCUGGAGUUGAGGGCGCAUGAAGCACUGGACAAGGCCCAGAAACCACAAGAAGAGCCUUGUAGUUUCUGGGGCUAUUUUGCUUAAGCACCCCCCCCCACCCCCCUUCAGCUGCAAAAGCAGUGCGCCCCCCAGUGGCCUUCUCUUGGCCUUGCUCCGGAGCUGCCCUGUAGAUUAGCAGCUGUUUUCCCAGCAUUCUCCAGGUGCGGUGGAUGUUAGCUGGGGCAGAGGUUUGGGCAUACUGCUUUCAAUUCAGGCAACAUUCUCUUGUGGUCCCUCUCCCCGUGUCCUGUAUUCUGUUCCCAGCUGGGCAUGUGGAAAGGCUGUGUGGAUCUCAGCUCCUCCGCUUGCACAGAGGCUGAGCCUGACCUGUGCCCGUCUGCUCAGCAGUGUUACUGUUGGUGGCUGGAAGACUUGGUAUUUAUUUAUUUUGCACUAGUCACGGUUGGUGUGGAAACUACUUCAAGUGUUUGGGAGACUACUUGCCUGUAACGGAAAGAGAUGGAUAAUUUAUUGCUUUGAUAGUUUUAAAUUAAAAGCUAUUCUCACAAACUCA